UACAAAAAGUCCCCUUAUUAUUUACACACAUCAAACCCUAACCUUCCAACACCAUUUGCGGCAAUUGUCGAUGCAGAUCCAGCGGUCUUCAUCACCGGCGCUUCAUCUGGACUCCGUUCAAGUUUCCGACGCAGAUCCGGUGGUCUUCAUAACCGGCACUUCAUCUGGGCUCCGUUCAAGUUUCCGACGCAGCGAAAACAUGUCCGGAAAGGUGGUAUUCAUCACCAUCGCUUCAUCUGGGCUCCGUUCAAGUUUCCGACGCAGCGAAAACAUGUCCGGAAAGGUGGACAGUUCAUCUGGACUUGAAGAGCUCAUGGCAUAUGAACAUGCCAAAAGAGGGGCGUAUGAUUUGAAAUUGAUGCUUCUGGUAGCUCUUGAGUGGUUGUGAAUACCAAGGGUAAUAAGAUUCAUAUAGUUGUCUAUCCCAAAUUUUCCCCAUUUGGAGGGAAGGUGAUUGUUUUUGGAGCGGAUUUCAGACAGAUCCUCCCUGUCGUGCCCAAUGGAAGUAGACAAGACAUUGUAAAUUCAUCUAUAAGUUCUUCCUACAUUUGGCAAAAAUGUAAAGUACUAAGGCUCACAAAAAAACAAGAGAUUAACCUUAGGAAGUGAAGUGUCUGAUAUUGAACAAACAAAGAUUUUCGCACAAUGGAUUUUGGAUUUAGGUGAAGGAAAGGUUGGUUGUUCAAACGAUGGUGAGGCAACUAUUGAUAUUCCUGAUGAUCUUCUCAUUGCUGAUUCACCGGAUCCAAUUCCUAAUCUAAUUGACUUUGUCUAUCCUUCUAUUGUUGACAAUUCAAAACAACCUAAUUUCUUCCGAGAAAGAGCAAUACUUGCAACAAAAAAUGAUGUUGUACAAGAAAUAAACGAUCGCCUCCUAUCCAUGUUUCCAGGGAUGAAAAAGAAUUCCUAAGUUCAGACAGUAUAUGCCAGUCAUAGUAUGUGAAUGAUACGGUAUAUGAAAGUUUAUACUCACCUGAUUUCCUAAAUGGACUUAAAGUUUCUGGCUUGCCUAACCAUAAGUUAGUGCUCAAGGUCGGUGUUCCAGUGAUGCUCGUAAGAAAUCUUGAUCAAAAAAGUGGAUUGUGUAACAGAACUAGACUAAAGGUGAUAUCACUUUAUAAUCAUGUUAUAGAAGCAGAGGUCAUAUCUAGAAGCAAUAUAGGUAUAUCGCACUUUUAUUCCAAGAAUUGAUUUGACCCCUCCAGACAAAAGGAUUCCAUUUAAGUUUCAAAGAAGACAGUUCCCAUUGGCAUUAUGUUUUGCAAUGACGAUAAAUAAGAGUCAAGGACAAUCAUUAUCCAGGGUUGGUUUGUUUCUGAAACAACCUGUUUUCACACAUGGCCAACUAUAUGUUGCAUUAUCUAGGUGAAAAGUAGACAAGGACUAAAACUGUUGAUCAAAGAUAAAGAUAAUAGAGUUACAAACAUUACAUCAAACGUUGUGUACAAAGAAAUAUUUAC